rnacentral:rRNA from 1 species
UGCCAGCAGCCGCGGUAAUACGAAGGGGGCGAGCGUUGUUCGGAAUCACUGGGCGUAAAGCGUACGUAGGCGGAUUAGCAAGUCAGAAGUGAAAUCCCAGGGCUCAACCCUGGAACUGCUUUUGAAACUGCUAAUCUAGAGUCCGGGAGAGGUGAGUGGAACUCCGAGUGUAGAGGUGAAAUUCGUAGAUAUUCGGAAGAACACCAGUGGCGAAGGCGGCUCACUGGCUCGAUACUGACGCUGAGGUGCGAAAGUGUGGGGAGCAAACAGGAUUAGAUA